AUUGAACGCUGGCGGCCGGCCUAACACAUGCAAGUCGGGCGAGCGGCUUACGGGUGAGUAAUGUAUGGGGAUCUGCCUGAUGGAGGGGGAUAACUACUGGAAACGGUAGCUAAUACCGCAUACCCUAAGAUGAACCCAUAUGGGAUUAGCUUGUAGGUGAGGUAAAGGCUCACCUAGGCGACGAGCUCUAGCUGGUCUGAGAGGAUGAUCAGCCACACGUGGAAUGAGACACGGCCCAGACUCCUACGGUAGGCAGCAGUGGGGACUAUUGCACAAUGGGCGCAAGCCUGAUGCAGCCAUGCCGCGUGUAUGAAGAAGGCCUUAGGGUUGUAAAGUACGUUCAGCGGGGAGGCGUUACCCGCAGAAGAAGCACCGGCUAACUCCGUGCCAGCAGCCGCGGUAAUUC
rnacentral:rRNA from 1 species